rnacentral:misc_RNA from 1 species
AACUUUCAGCAAUGGAUCACUUGGCUCUCGCAUCGAUGAAGAACGCAGCGAAAUGCGAUACGUAAUGUGAAUUGCAGAAUUCAGUGGAUCAUCGAAUCUUUGAACGCACCUUGCGCCCCUUGGCAUUCCGAGGGGCACACCCGUUUGAGUGUCGUGAAAUUCUCAAACCUUCUUGGUUUCUUGAUCUAGAUGGCUUUGGAAUUUGGGGGCAUGUUGCCUGCUUUUCGCACAGCCAGCUCCUCUUCUAUACGAUAGUGGCGUCCCCUUUGCCGAUACCGAGACGUAAUUAGAUAUGCCUACGUCUUGGGAUUUGCUCUGUUCCUUAGGAGCCCGAUUCCAGCCGUCUCAUGGGUGACAUCGUUCGAGUUUGCUCGACCCACGAACCUUGACCUCAAAUCGGGUGAGACUACACGCUGAACUUAAGCAUAUCAAUAAGUGGAGGCU